rnacentral:rRNA from 1 species
UUUAGGAAGAACAAAUGCGAGAGUAAUUGCUCGCACCUGGACGGUACCUAACCAGAAAGCCACGGGCUAAUUACGUGCCAGCAGCCGCGGUAAUACGUAGGUGGCAAGCGUUGUCCGGAAUUAUUGGGCGUAAAGGCUUGCCGGCGGUUUUUUAAGUUGGAUGUGAAAGCCCCCGGGUUCAACCGGGGAGGGUUCAUUGGAAACUGGGAAAACUUGAGUGCAGAAGAGGAGAGUGGAAUUCCACGUGUAGCGGUGAAAUGCGUAGAGAAUGUGGAGGAACACCAGUGGGGAAGGCGACUCUCUGGUCUGUAACUGACGCUGAGGAAGCGAAAGCGUGGGGAGCGAACAGGAUUAGAUACCCUGGUAGUCCACGCCGUAAAACGAUGAGUGCUAAGUGUUAGGGGGUUUCCGCCCCUUAGUGCUGCAGCUAACGCAUUAAGCACUCCGCCUGGGGGAGUACGGUCGCAAGACUGAAACUCCAAAGGAAUUGACGGGGGCCCGCACAAGCGGUGGAAGCAUGUGGUUUAAUUCGAAGCAACGCGAAGAAACCUUACCAGGUCUUGACAUCCUCUGACAACCCUAGAGAUAGGGCUUUCCCUUCGGGGACAGAGUGACAGGUGGUGCAUGGUUGUCGUCAGCUCGUGUCGUGAGAUGUUGGGUUAAGUCCCGCAACGAGGCGCAACCCUUGAUCUUAGUUGCCAGCAUUCAGUUGGGCACUCUAAGGUUGACUGCCGGUGACAAACCGGAGGAAGGUGGGGAUGACGUCAAAUCCAUCAUGCCCCUUAUGACCUGGGCUACACACGUGCUACAAUGGACAGAACAAAGGGCUGCAAGACCGCAAGGUUUUUAGCCAAUCCCAUAAAAUCUGUUCUCAGUUCGGAUCGCAGUCUGCAACUCGACUGCGUGAAGCCGGAAUCGCUAGUAAUCGCGGAUCAGCAUGCCGCGGUGAAUACGUUCCCGGGCCCUUGUACACACCGCCCGUCCCCACCACCGAGAGUUUGCAACACCCGAAGUCGGUGAGGUAACCUUUAUGGAGCCAGCCCGCCGAAGGUGGGGCAGAUGAUUGGGGUGAAGUCGAACAAGUAGCCUCAGGAAGUCCAAAAAAGGC